UACGGAAGGCAGCAGUGGGGAAUAUUGCACAAUGGGCGAAAGCCUGAUGCAGCUAUGCCGCGUGUAUGAAGAAGGCCUUAGGGUUGUAAAGUACUUUCAUCGGGGAGGAAAAAACAAAACUAAUAAUUUUAUUUCUUGACGUUACCCGAAAAAGAAGCACCGGCUAACUCCGUGCCAGCAGCCGCGGUAAUACGGAGGGUGCUAGCGUUAAUCAGAAUUACUGGGCGUAAAGAGCACGUAGGUGGUUUUUUUAAGUCAGAUGUGAAAUCCCUGGGCUUAACCUAGGAACUGCAUUUUGAAACUGAAAUACUAGAGUAUCGUAGAGGGAGGUAGAAUUCUAGGUGUAGCGGUGAAAUGCGUAGAUAUCUGGAGGAAUACCUGUGGCGAAAGCGGCCUCCUAAACGAAUACUGACACUGAGGUGCGAAAGCGUGGGGAGCAAACAGGGACUUAGAUACCCGU
rnacentral:rRNA from 1 species